rnacentral:rRNA from 1 species
AUUGAACGUUGGCGGCAGGCCUAACACAUGCAAGUCGAACGAGUGGCGGACGGGUGAGUAAUGUCUGGGAAACUGCCCGAUGGAGGGGGAUAACUACUGGAAACGGUAGCUAAUACCGCAUACCAUCGGAUGUGCCCAGAUUGGAUUAGCGAGUAGGUGGGGUAACGGCUCACCUAGGCGACGAUCCCUAGCUGGUCGGAGAGGAUGACCAGCCACACUGGACCUGAGACACGGUCCAGACUCCUACGGGAGGCAGCAGUGUGAAAUAUUGCACAAUGGGCGCAAGCCUGAUGCAGCCAUGCCGCGUGUAUGAAGACGGCCUUCGGGUUGUAAAGUACUUUCCGCGGGGAGGCGUUACCCGCAGAAGAAGCACCGGCUGACUCCGUGCCAGCCGCCACGGUAAUAC